rnacentral:rRNA from 1 species
CAGCAGCCGCGGUAAUUCCAGCUCCAAUAGCGUAUAUUAAAGUUGUUGCAGUUAAAAAGCUCGUAGUUGGAUUUCGGGAUGGGCCAGUUGGUCCGCCGAAAGGUGUGUUACCGACUGGUCUGUUCUUCUUCGCAAAGACUGCUCAUGCACUUUAUUGUGUGUGUGUAGGAUUUACGACGUUUACUUUGAAAAAAUUAGAGUGUUCAAAGCAGGCUAACGCUUGAAUACAUGAGCAUGGAAUAAUGAAAUAAGACUUUGGUUUUAUUUUGUUGGUUUCCGAAACCGAAGUAAUGAUUAAGAGGGACAAUUGGGGGCAUCCGUAUUUCGUUGUCAGAGGUGAAAUUCUUGGAUUUACGAAAGACGAACAACUGCGAAAGCACUUGCCAAGAGUGUUUUCAUUAAUCAAGAACGAAAGUUAGAGGAUCGAAGACGAUCAGAUACCGUCCUAGUUCUAACCAUAAACGAUGUCGACUAGGGAUCAGCGGGUGUUAACAUACGACCCCGUUGGCACCUUACGGGAAACCAAAGUUUUUGGAUUCCGGGGGAAGUAUGGUUGCAAAACUGAAACUUAAAGGAAUUGACGGAAGGGCACCACCAGGAGUGGAGCCUGCGGCUUAAUUUGACUCAACACGGG